rnacentral:misc_RNA from 1 species
UAGAGCCGUAUACGAGACCCGUACGUACGGUUCAAUUAUCUCGAAUUCGGGAUAAUCAAAAAGUUGUGAUAAGUUCAAUGGGAGGGGCAAUAAAUCUAGAAUUUAUUUCUCUACCCUAU